ensembl:lncRNA
GUAAACUUUCACUUCACUGGAAAAAUUUGACAUCACUUCAAACGUAAAAUGAAACUUUAUCCGUCACUGUGGAGAAUUUAGAGCACAAAGGCACAAAUGGUACCCGGACUCACUGGGAUCUGACCAGUUGAUGGUUUAGAUAAUUUUUUUUUUAAACUACCAAAGUUAUUAAAGUUUAAACUUUAUCACAGUUUGAAAAUUGUGUUUGAGGCUGCUAACAGAUAAAUAAUAAAUGAGACAUCAUCGUUACUGACAAUAACCUGCAGGUAACAACAACAUUACAACAAAGUUAAGCAGCACGCAGCUUUACCACCUGGGUCUGUUUAUCUGCAUUAAAGAGAAAUGCAGGAAGUGUCUCUGGACAUGAGAAGUCCCGAAAUGUCCCCAGAGAGUGUGGGGUCCCCUCAUGGGCUGCGAGGUCUCGCAUUUGAGCCAUCAGAGGUCAUUUAAUGUCAAUAAAUUAUUUCUUUUCCACUUAAUUGAAAUUCUGAAGUCUGUAAAACUUUGAAAUCCACAGGAAUAUAUCAUUUUUAAAAGUCACAUCUUUUAUACUUUAGAGGACAAGGUGCCCAACUCCUCUGGGAUCAGGUCCAAAGUCAAGCAGAUGUUUCUAUUAUAGAGGCCUUUUCGACUUCGCAGGGUUUAAAUAGUGUCUUCAUUUCUGGACCUGUGAUUCAUCCUGAAACUCCACGUUAUCAUUAUCACUUUAUAUUAAUAUGUGAAGGAAAGCUGUGGUGGUUUGGCUGGAUCUCCCUCUGGAGACCACAAAGCGUCAAACUGUUUUCACCUGCAGUCUUACUGAGUUUACUUGAAGAGCUCAGUGAACAAACUCAAACUUAUUGAGAAACACACACACACAUUCUCGUUUUCAUGUUUUGUUUGUGAGGACAUCUAAUUUACAUAAUGCUUUCCCUAGCUGCUAACCCUAACCAUCAGAUAUGAAUGUCUAAUCCUAACCCUCAGCCUGAACCAUAACUAUAACUAUAACCUAACUGUAACCCUGACUCUAAAACCACAUUUUGAUUCUCAAAAAUGCCUUCAGACUUGUGAGGACGGCCACUUUUGUCCUCAUAAGUCACUGUUGGUCCCCACAAGUUUAGUAAUGUUCCAAUUUUUGGUCCCCACAAAGCUGUCUAGACGGGUACACACACACAAAUACACAGCUUGUGAGCAGCAGGGGGCAGCAGACCCACAGUAGACACCCUGUGCUGCUGGUUACGUCAUACUGUUGUUUAUCGUCCUCUGUGUUGUCAUGUUAAAGUGUUGACGCUGACUUGUCUGGAUGGACUAAAUGCUCCAUGAAUCGCCCGGAUCAGCUGCAGGACAACUCUCCCUGUGUGCUGCCUGCUCCCAUCAGCCUGCAGCGCUCGCUCGCUUUCACAGAAAUCAGCUCCACUUUCGGCUUUUUCUCAGUGAGGUUUGAGGCUGGACUUUUAUUUUGGAGGGCUGCUGUUCCCGAGUCAUAUUCAGUGUUUUGUGUUUUCUUACAUAAUGCAGCUGCUCUCAUAAAGUGGACCUACAGCAAAUCCCGAGCAGAUAAGACGGGUCUGACAGCGAGCAUUGUCUCAUUUUAAAUCCAGCGAGCAGCAGCUGUUACAGAUGAAAAGUGCGUCACAUAAAUAAAAUCCAUGUAAUGCAGGCUUUGAGCAUUACACUGGAGUAUGUGGCGCAGCGUUCGCGCAGCAGAGUGUGAUUACGUUAAAUUUAGAUGAAAAGUAAAAACCAAACAUCUGUUCCUGCUGAACUGUGGACGCAGGAGUCGCUCAGAGUCGUCUGCGGCGAUUACCGUUUGUCUCUUUGAAAAGUGUGUUUUUAUAUCAGCUGUGAUGUUGGGGAGAAACUUUGUUUUCCACUUCAGCCUGUAAAAUAAUUUUGCUGUUUGCUUUGUAAAAAAAUCUGAAGUUGUUAAUAAAAAGUAAGUUAUG